rnacentral:lncRNA from 1 species
CGAUUCUGUAAUUUCGACCGAAACAUUCAAAAAUUCAUAUAAUAUUUUGUAUGAAAUGUACCAUCCAUAACUGACCGUGUUCUCCUUGAAAACGCAACAACAAUGUAUAAAAAAAUUAACAAAUGCCUUGAUUGUAGUAUUUCAUGGAUUUGUAUAAAUAUGUUCUUAAAAGAGUUGAAACGUUUCUUUUUAAAAUUCAAAGUGUAGUAAGCAUUAAACUUGGUGCGCACAUUUUGAAUAUGAUGCGCGGAAAAUUCCUAACAAAAAGGUAACUAGCGUUAAUUGAUGAAGUAGUAUGUUACAUUUUAUUUUUUGGCAAUCGUUUGAUGAGUUUGAGCUUUUGAUUUUGUCAUU